AGGCCAUCAGAGUGGAAGGGAGAAGUCUGCCAGCAAAAUCACUCAAUUUGGAUUUUUUGUUCUCUCGGGCACAGAUACUCAGAGGAGGAAGAAAACUACCAGACUUUCUUUAACUCUGAAGCAAGCAAAAAAAGGCAGAAAAUGCUGAAGGAAUUCAUAAUUGUUAUUAUAGACAAAAAGGAAAAGAAAACUAGGACUAGAAUACUAUGACAAGAAUGAAACAGUACUGGAUGACAUCAUGUUUUACAUGGCUUUCCAAUAACAGUUCAGAUAGAGCCUACAAGAGACAAAAGCCUCACGAUCAAGAGAAAUAGAAGCAGAAAGAAUAAAAAGGGCACUGAGGAAGCACAACAUAAAACUAAGGUAUGGCAGAUCACCAGCUCUUUGCUGUAUGUCGAUUGUGUCAUUCUUCUACAUUGAAUUCUACUUAGAAGUGUUUGUGCCGAUCUUGCCUACCAGGCUUGGCAUUCUCUCAGUUGGCAUGUAGUAGUCAUUCAAUAAACAUAUGCUAAGGAAAUGCAUGAUGAAUAAAUAAAUAUGUGAAUAUGCUAACAUCAGUUGGAAUUCAAUUCAAUCCAUAAAACCUUUUAAGUGCCUAUGAUGUGCAGUGAAUGUUCUUCUCCAGGAAUUGCAGUGUUUCAGGCAAGCCAAAUACAUAAAUAAUUAAUAGUAGCAGACUCUGAUAAAUACAUAAUAGAGUUGAAAAGAAGCUGAGAAAAAUGAAGACCACAGGAAGGCUUUUCAGAGGAGAUUAGAUUUUAAUGAGCCUUUGAAAAAUUGGAAGAUUCUGGAAGGUAGCUAAGAAGCAAUUAGAAUCCUAGAAAGAAGGGAAGACCAGUGUGCUUUCGGACACAGAAGCAGGAAAUAUACAAGCUGUCGUUGGAGAACUGCAAAUACAAUUUCUAGUCUCUUAGAAUUAAGAAUGUUUUAGUGAAGGUCUUUGGAGAGUUUGGGGAAAAUUGUAAAAGUUGGGUUAGAAGCCUGAGAAGCUGUAUGUUAUUUUUCACAUAAGGGGAGACUAUUGGAAAGUUUUGAGUAGGAAAUAAACUUAGUUCCUGUGAUGGUUAAUACUGAGUGUCAACUUGAUUGGAUUGAAUGAUGCAAAGUAUUGUUCUUGGGUAUGUCUGUGAAGAGGUUGCCAAAGGAGAUUAACAUUUAAGUCACUGGACUGGAAAAGGCAGACUCACCUUCAAGCUGGGUGGGAACAAUCUAAUCAGCUGCCAGUGUGGCCAGAAUAAAGCAGGCCGAAGAAUGUGAAAUAACCAGAUUGACUUAGCCUCCCAGCCUACAUCUUUCUCCCAUGCUGGAUGCUUCCUACCCUCAAACACUGGAUUCCAAGUUUUCAGCUUUGGACUCUGACUGCCUUCCUUGCUCCUUAGCUUGCAGACAGCCUAUUGCAGGACCUUGUGAUCAUGUGAGUUAAAACUCCUUAAUAAACUCCCCUUUAUAUAUACAUUUUUCCUAUUCGUUCUGUCCCUCUGGAGAACCCUGACUAACUUAGUCCCUUUAGGUUUGGAAAGGAUAACCCUGGAAGCAAUGUGGAUUAUGAAUCUGCAAGAGGGAGUAAUGAGAGUGAUUAUGAACAAUAAGGAGGAUAUUUCAAACAGCCAGGAUAAGCAUCAAGGACCCAGCUAGGGUGAUGGCAAUGGAGAUGGGGAUGCACAGGAGAGACUCCUACAAUUCUAUCUUCUGAACGGUUUUGGAACUUUGGGAAAUGGAAAUAUAAUGGGGGUGAAUACCUUUGUAAGACAGUAAAACAAAGAAACAAACUUCUCUGUGAGAAUCUGGAAGAAAAGCAAAGAAGUCUAGUUCCCCAGUGAUUCUUCAAUCCGGAGAAUUUGAAAGUGACUCUGUUGGAAAAAACUCCCAAACCAAUUUUCCUCUACUCUCUUACCAAAAGAACAACAACCAUCAACACAGACAUCUGUGACCACAAAACAUGUCGUGAUUUCUCCCUACCAGCAAGAAAGCAAUCAGUUCUGCAGUAGAUACCAGCUGGGUUUCUUCCAAUUCAGUUCUGACCCUACCCGCCUAGAGAAGAGUGUCAGAUCCCACAGGUUGAGGGCUCAGUCCCCAAAACUGCCUCCUGCCUUCAGACACUUCAGUCACAAGUUUGGGCCUCCAGAACUUCUGACUGGCUAUAAGUUGGGGUUCCUGUGACCCUUCUUUGGGUUCAACUAAUUUGUUAGAGCAACUCACAAAACUCAAGGAGACCAUCACAAAGGAGAUCUGCCUCGAGGAAACUAUCAGACUGGCCCAGGAUGGAGAAUGAAGACAGCAAUUUGCUCUGUUCUCUAAAGCUCUGAUUCAAGUUCU
rnacentral:lncRNA from 1 species